rnacentral:tRNA from 1 species
GUCUCAGUGGCUCAGUUUGUUGAGUGUCUGACUUCAGCUCAGAUGACGAUCUCGCGUUUGUGGGUUCAAGCCCCAUGUCGGGCU